rnacentral:piRNA from 1 species
UACAGUCAUAGAUGAACAGGCCUCAG